rnacentral:rRNA from 1 species
AUUGAGCGCUGGCGGCAGGCCUAACACAUGCAAGUCGAACGAGCGGCGGACGGGUGAGUAAUGUCUGGGAAACUGCCUGAUGGAGGGGGAUAACUACUGGAAAAGGUAGCUAAUACCGCAUAACAUCAGAUGUGCCCAGAUUGGCUUAGCUUGUUGGUGGGGUAAUGGCUCACCAAGGCGACGAUCCCUAGCUGGUCUGAGAGGAUGACCAGCACCACUGGAACGGAGACACGGUCCAGACUCCUACGGGAGGCAGCAGUGGGUAAUAUUGCACAAUGGGCGCAAGCCUGAUACAGCCAUGCCGCGUGUAUGAAGAAGGCCUUCGGGUUGUAAAGUACUUUCAGCGGUGAGGCGUUACCCGCAGAAGAAGCACCGGCUAACUCCGUGCCAGCAGCCGCGGUAAUAC